rnacentral:rRNA from 1 species
UCCAGACUCCUACGGGAGGCAGCAGUGGGGAAUAUUGCACAAUGGGGGAAACCCUGAUGCAGCGACGCCGCGUGAGUGAAGAAGUAUUUCGGUAUGUAAAGCUCUGUCAGCAGGGAAGAAAAUGACGGUACCUGACUAAGAAGCCCCGGCUAACUACGUGCCAGCAGCCGCGGUAAUACGUAGGGGGCAAGCGUUAUCCGGAUUUACUGGGUGUAAAGGGAGCGUAGACGGCAUGGCAAGUCAGAUGUGAAAGCCCGGGGCUCAACCCCGGGACUGCAUUUGAAACUGUCAGGCUGGAGUGCAGGAGAGGUAAGUGGAAUUCCUAGUGUAGCGGUGAAAUGCGUAGAUAUUAGGAGGAACACCAGUGGCGAAGGCGGCCUGCUGGACGACAACUGACGGUGAGGCGCGAAAGCGUGGGGAGCAAACAGGAUUAGAUACCCGAGUAGU